rnacentral:rRNA from 1 species
UACGGGGGGGAGCAAGCGUUGUUCGGAUUUACUGGGCGUAAAGAGCGCGCAGGCGGUCGUGCAAGUCGCGUGUGAAAGCCCCCGGCUCAACUGGGGAGGGUCACGCGAUACUGAUCGACUCGAAGGCAGGAGAGGGUAGUGGAAUUCCCGGUGUAGUGGUGAAAUGCGUAGAUAUCGGGAGGAACACCAGUGGCGAAGGCGACUACCUGGCCUGUUCUUGACGCUGAGGCGCGAAAGCUAGGGGAGCAAACGGG